CGCCGCGCUGCCAUAUUGCCGUUGGCGGCAGCUGUGCAGCUGUCCACUGCCACUGCGGCUGGCGGUGUUUUUGCCGCUCUUGUCUACGCAGUGGCGUACAUGACCAAAUGGGCGUUUACACAUUUGGCGGUUGUCUACCGUCGCCGCUGAUCAGUUGUCUUUCCCAGUUGCUCCAAGUCAGAGGUCUUUGAGGAUCAGCCUUUUAAUUUGGGUCUUGUUGUACAGUUUGCGAGUUGUUUAUAACAUUUAUUUAUUGUUUUAAGUAUUUGUGGCUGACGAGUGUGAAAAAUGAGUGAGUUAAUAGACAAUGAGUUGUUGAUAUCAUUUGUAGAACAGAGGCCAGUUUUGUGGGACAAAACCCUCGACAUAUUCAAGGAUCGAGAUGCAACAAGGAAUGCGUGGUAGGAAGUGUGUAUGGAGAUUAGGGGGGAUUUUGAAACUCUGGAUUACAAGGAAAAUUGCAUUUGGCGUACCAGAUCAAGAGAGGCAGCUAGUAGGUAAGGGUCAGGAAUAGACCCAGGAGAGCAGACUUCCAAUAGGAACGACAGGCGACACAUUCCAUUCCAAACUUUCUGAGUGUCGACCAGUUUACGCUCUUUCAGCACAACAAACUCAGAUUCUCGUCCGUGAUCUCCCAUUUCAAGCGAAUUUCUCCUACUGAAAUCUGGGAACACUUAUGAAAUUACUGACAAUAUAUUUUAUUUAAACUUAGGCCAAUAGAUUUAGUGUACAAAUGUAUGAUAGAAAUAUAUUUAGAAUUCAAUAUGGACGAAAAAUUCUGUGAAUUCAUGAAAUUUAUAUUAAACGGAAUGAACUAAGAGCCAUUGGUAGCCAUAAAUUUUAAUUGGUUAUAUCUUUAUUAAAAAUAUGUGCUCAUUCAAUAAUAUGAGCGUUAGAGAAGUAGAAUUUGCUUCAUGUGAGAAUUGAAUUCUAAUAACUUUUGAGAACUCACAACUGCCUUGAGUAUCUUCGAUGCUGCCGUCUUUCUUCUUUCCCCUACCGAAUCCCAAUUUAUUGAUUUGAUCUUCAACGCGCCUCCUGGCUUUCUGGAGGGUAUUUCCCACACUGCAAAAAACGAAAACAACUUGGAAUCAAUCACCUUCAUAGUACAAAUCAUCUCAUAUUAUGGUAAUUUGAAUAAUAUAAUAAUAAUUUGAAUCAGCUCAACAAACACAUCUCAUACAACAAACUUUAAACUGUGUUCUUCAGAACAAACUAUCUUGUUCCAACUCCAAAUCAUUAAAUUUGAGCUGUAACACAGUAGUUAGCAAUAUUGAAUAAAUUCCUUCAAAAUGUUUCAAAUACAAUAUGAACAUUUUUGAGGGGAUUGAUUUAAUUUUCAAUACAAUAUUAUAAAACAUUAUGACGAUGGUUAAGGAGGAAGAAAUUACCUUCCGGUACUUUUUUGAGAGGUUCUGCUGUAAGACUGAUGCAGCUGGGCAGCUUGAUGGAUGAGUGCCCCUCCCUCCACUGGUGAAUCGCUGCCAUCGUGACUCUCCAGUGAAUCAGAUCUUCCAUAUUCCUUUCGGAACCAGUUCACUAAACAAAUAUAUAUAUAUAUAUAAACAUCAUUGUUCAAAUACUCUUUCUCACCAAAAAUAGUAAAUGGUAUCAUUGAAAACGAAAUUCAUCACACGUUCCCAAAGAUUUAAAAGUGUAUUGAAUAAGAAUCACAGUAUUCAAUCUUUUUCAAGGGUGAAAAAGUAUAAUAUGAAGUGAGAGUUAUCCAUAGAAAUCUAAUAAAAUCAACUAGGAUAAUAUAAAGAUAAAGAUAGAAUACAAAUAUUAGUAUAGAUCAGUUUUUAGUUCAAUAAUCAAUAAUGUUUUGUUAUUAAUCAACAACAUAAUUUAUUCAAGUAAUGAAAUUAUUUAGUACUAGUAUAAUUAAAGUAAACUCUAUUCAAAGUUAA